rnacentral:misc_RNA from 1 species
GGGAGUGUUGCCUCUUCACUAAUCCAUAUAACCGCUACAAGCCUCAAACGGAACAAUCCAAUAAUUCCUCGUUCCCUUUCUGUUUCUUACCCUCCAAAAAUUAACCCAAUACAAACUCCUUACUUUUCGUUUCUUCAAUAUCAAUAUGGCCUCCAUUCCCAGGCCUCACGGAGCCGCUCAACUCGGAUCCGGCGGCAAAUUAGUCCGACCCAGGCGGACCACUGCUCCCAGGACUCCCUACGAGCGUCCUCUUCGAUUGCUUCCCAAUUCGGCUUCCCAAAACCCUAAUUGGCUCUCCAGUCUCAUUUUAUCUCCUACUCGUAUGAUUGCUACCGGUGCCGGCAAAGUUCUUUCCUCUGUCUUCGGCCCCGUCUCCUCCUCUUCCUCCUCUUCGUCUUCCGGUGGCGAUUUCACUUCAGAGGAUGAUGCAGAUGAUGCCAAUGAUGAUAAUGUUAUCACUUCUCAGGACGCUACCAAAUUGGAAAAGACAUUUGAAAAGAAAAAUUCCUUGAGGAAAGAUACCCAAGCUAUAGAUUGGAAGAGUGAAACAAAGCGUGCAAUUGAACAACUUCUCAUGCAGGAAACAUUCUCAAGGGAAGAAUGUGAUAGAUUAACGCAUAUUAUUAAAUCAAGAGUUGUAGAUUCUUCCAUCACUGGAGACCUAGAUGGGAGACUAAAUGAGAUACCUGGCAGGACAGUUUGCAGCGAUGUUGAUAUGCCUGAUAUCCGCAGUACAGCCAUUACAGAGGCUAAAAAAUGGCUAGAGGAGAAGAAAUUGGGGUCAAAUUCAAAAUCAGAAUUGGUGUAUGGAACCUGCACUUUGAACGCUGCGAUGUUGCCACAGGUUAUGGAAGAUGAAGUGGGUUCACCAGCAGACUUGGCCAAAUCUUACAUGCAAGCACGCCCUCCGUGGGCAUCUCCAUCACUGAGCAACAUUCAGUUACAAUCCCCAUCACCAAGGGGGAUACAGCUUUUUAAGGAAGAAACACCAAAUUUGUUUGGUGGCAAUUCUGCGCCUUCAUCCAAGCUGAUUAGGAAUUCCUCUGCCACUGGUUCAUGGAAUAUCCUGGAGGAAAUACGAAAAGUGAGAACUAAGGCAACUGAAGAGAUGUUAAGGACUCGACCUUCGUCAGUAAUUGAUUGGUCUACAUUAGCUUCAGAAAGCAAAAGGAGCCCUCAUUCGUUGCUAUCUGAUAAAGCAGAAUCUGGUAUGAAAAAUAUAAUGCUUAAUUUCGUUGACUCUACACUAUUAAUAGAUGCACCUUUGAGGGCAGUGGAAUGACCAGCUCACAAAUAUGCUUUACUUGUUUGAAGCAACCUCCUUUGGUUAGUUCCAGUUUCUGCUUAUAGAGUCUUUUCUGCCUUUUCAGUUUCACAAAGGGCACAAGAUGGAUUGCUGACUGAAUCUUCUCCACCAGAUAUAGCUUCCUCAAUUCCCGAACAAAGUCAGGUACUUGAGUUUUGGGAUUGGAAAUGGCAUAAAGGUUCACUAUUUCCUUUUAUUCUAAUCUCUCUAAUUUUAUUGCAAUGAGCUGACCUUUGGUUAAAAAAAGAUCUCUAACUUUAUCAAGGACAAAGCAGCAUAAAAAUUUGAGCUAUCAAAUUCUUGCUGUUUUUGUCCUUAUAUUGAGUCUACCAAUAUUUUCAUUGUUAGAACAAAUAGUCAGAUAUCUUAAGAUCUUAUUAAUAUUUUCAUGAAGGGUCCGGGAGCUAUACAGAUCAUUGAAGGAGCUGAAGGUGCCUUUUCUAGUUCUAAUAAGAGGGUUUUUUUCCUCUUUUUUUAUCCUUGGCUAAAUCAUUUCUCUCGUGAACUAAAACUGUCUAAUUUAGGCUUAUGUGAUGGCACAAAAGGGAGAUUAAACCCUGGACAAAGACUUCAACCUUCACAAGAAAUGAGGACUGCACCACCAUGUGAUGAUGAUGUUGAUGACUGCAAGGAUGUUGAUGGGGUUUGCAAACCUUUAGACUAUACUGUGGGAGGAGAUACUAAAGAUUCAACGUUACAUGAAACAAAUUGUUCAACCAUGGCUGAAGUUGCCGAAAGGAAUGUUGCAGUUGCAGUUGCUGCAAAUGGUUUCCCUCCUUCAGGAUCUAGGUGGAAAAAGAGGCUGUGACUUUUCUUUUUCUUUCUUUUUAAUGCUAUAUUAUUUAUACCAGAUCAUACUAAGGCCGAUUCCCACUCUUUCAGUUUGACUGCAAGUCUGCAAGGAGAACAUAAUUCUACGCCAUCCGAUGAGCAGCACCAUACUGUUGAUUCUGCCUAUGACAACUUAACAAGAAGUGCUCAUGUUGGUGAGACGUGUGAGCAAUUAAGUGAAUCUUACGUGGAGGUGCCUAUUGUGAAUGAGCAUGAAGAAUUGUCACAGGAUUUGUCCUCGCCAAAUUUGAAAAAUAAGGCUGACAAUAGCAAUGAUGUUACUGUCACUGGGAAGCAACGAGGAGGGAAACGAAAAUUUGCAAGGAGGGGCAGGGGACGGGUUAAAUAAUUUUUAAUCUUGUCUUUGUAAUUUACUGUAAAUUGACUGUAAACUAGUUUAGAAUUAAAGAUAGCACCACUAAAGGCAUUUUGUAAACUGUAGCGAGAUGGAUACUUGUUAGUUUAGUAUUUAACCAGGCAGGGAUUUUCGCCCUUAAAUUGGGUGAUUCAUUUGUAAUCUGUACCAGUAGUUUAGCGUUUGACCAAGCAAGCGUUUUACCCUUAAAUUGGGUAAAUCAAUAAUUAGUUUGAAUUGUUAAACCAACUUGGGCCGGUCUAGACCGGUAAUCCCGCUGAAAAGGCCAAUUUACAGCUGUAAUUUCCACUGAUGUAUAAAAAGGGAAGUUAUAAAAAGC